UUAAGAAAGAUGGGGAAACAGUCAGCCAACAGAACAGACACGGUUUUAGACAAAUGAAAAUCCCAUUACCUCCGAUAAUUUAAAGAUUUGGUUGUGCCUGUCCUUUUCCUUUUCUGAAGCUUCUGCAACACCACAGAUCUAGAGAUUGGACUUCAGCUGAUACAGUGCAGCCACACAAGCCCCUUUGUAUCCUGCAUCUACCAAGAACUCAUAAGAUAGCCUUGACAAGAUUUCUCUCUCAGCCUCAACUUUCCUUUCUUGGUCAACAGCACAGGAGAUACUAACAUAAAGAAGUACUCUAAAAACCUGUGACAACCACAAGGGAUUAGGAUGAUGCGUAAGCCACUUUUGCCAGCUGAAUCUACAUUUCUUCUGCAAAUACCCAAUAGCACAGAGAUCUUACCGAUUUAAAAUCCAGAGAUGGAUGAAAGUGGAAGGAAUGCAAGACAGCUUUAUUUCAUACUGGAUGUGUUGGACUGAAUUUCGUGUAAUGUAAGAAGUUUUCUCAAUCGGGUGUCCUUCGAAUGGAAGUUAAAAUCCACCACAUCUGAGGAAAGACUCAGGCGCUUGAAGACUCCUUUCUAUUGUUGUUUAAGGAUAAAAUAAAAAUGGAAGAUCUGCCUAUCUCCACAACAACCUCAUACAGUGAAUGAGGGAAAUCUACCACUCUAAAAUGUUCAUUUCUUAAAAAAUACAUCAUUAAAUUGAUAAAUAAGUGAAAACUAUCCAGCAAAAGUAAACUAUGAAAGAGUAAAAGUUUAGUGAUUUGCAGGUCCCUAUUAGAGUCUUGAACUUCUGCAUCAAAAUUUAUUGAAAUGGUACAUAAAAUACUCUCUAGAAGUAAAUGUAUUCAUUGUUUAUGCAGUAUUUAGAAUUUCUUUUCAGAUUUUUAUGAGUAUUUUUUUUUAUGAUUUUUAUUUUUAUGAGUGCAGAAAUGUGAACAUUCCUUCUACAAGUAUGAGAAUAUUUAGGGCAGGAAUAUACAGGAAACCAGUUUUCACAUUUAGGUAUUAAUUUUGGAUGCCAGAAACAGAGCUUAUUUGAACACACUAAGGAUUGCAUCACAUAGUUGCAACUCAUCUUAGCAACUCUGUAAGUAUAAGAAAGCCUGGUUUGGCUUUUGCAUAUUGUACAAAUGAUCCUAAAAUGCAGGACUCAGCUUUGGCAAAUCUAAAAUAAAAUUUCAAUCCCACAUGCAAAGUCACUGAACUAACAUUCAUCAACUGAAGAUAAAAAUAGUUUUCAUUGCUGUGAUAGCCUGAUAUAUAUAGAUAUCUACAUAUUCUAUUCUGCUGAUUUGCUAUAGGGAAAAACUGGUUCAGUAAACUUCAUGAAUUGCACAGUGUUCUCCUUGGAAAACAGAAUUGCAUAAUAUGUUGUUAUACUACUGCACGUAGUAAAAAAAAAAAAUCUUGGGUCACAGAGCCAGAAAAAACAACACAUGAAAGGACAAACUGACUACAAGUUCGCCGUUUUGGAUGGAGAAGGGUCUCUGGCAAGAUCCUACUGCUUUUAGCUCAUGUGUUUUUCAUUUAAUUUAGUUCAUGUAAGGUUCUUUCAAGGAGAGGGAAUAGAAACGCAGUAAAUCUCUGUAGGAAUCAGAGCUGUGUGAGUUUGAGAAACAUACUGGGCAAAUCAGCUUGUUUUGUCCAUUAAAUAAGAGGGGUUUGAGAGCCAACUGCGAACUCAAUUAAAAUGGAUGAGUGUGUGGAGGGGGAGAUAGUUGAAUUGAGAGUUGGCAUUUGAGGAUAUGGAAAAGGGGAAACUUAACAAUUUCUUCCAUUUAUGUAGUUCUUUUUCUUCUCUUCAUCCAAGAUGUCCAUAAAUGUAACUAUCUGGAAAUCUUCCAUUAAGUCUUCUGUUGUCUCCUCACUUUCUUACAUUUCCCUGAUAAGAUCAUACAAAUACACAGUUGGAAGGAACUACUUAGGUCAUGACAUUCACCUUCUGAUAGAGGCAGGAAUUCUCUCUCUUCCAACAAACAUGUAUAAAGUGUUGCAGAUGUUCAUCUCUACUGAUGGAUGCCUAUAUUUAUCUAAGGAUAGAAAGAGACCUCAAGAGAUCUUUCGGUGAUGCCUCAGUGAUUGCCAGUUCAAACAAACCAGUUCCAGGUAGCUGAUUCACUUCUAUAAUUGCCACUUCAAGCCUGGCUCAUUCACAGAUAUGUUGAGACUACAGCUUUCAGAAUUCCCAGCCAAUAUCAUGCUGAUUGACCAUUCUCAGAAGCUAUGGGGCCCAUGACAUCAAUCGGAUGGCAAGUUGGGAAAAGCUGCUAUAAUGAAUGAAAACCCUUUUCUGCUCAAAGGUAUGGAGUUGUGGGGUUUUAGCAUGGGGGAAAACCCCCCCUUUUUUUACAAAUAAAUCUUCCAGCAUCUGAGCAGUAAUGCAGGAAUUACAAAAUAGGAACUUCCCUACCACCAUCUGUUCAAUCUGCAAACCAUUCCCAACACAGUUAAAAUCUAAUCCUCAUUUUCCCACAUUGUCUGUAUUGCCUCCAAAAUGAAAACAUGUUCAAGAUGGCAUUGUUUAUACGCUAGCAAAUCUGGAUCUUGCAGGGACCCAGAUUCAGCCAAUCAUUGCUCAAUCACAGUUAACUCACUGCUGAGCAAAGACAGUGUAAUAGGCCAAUAGGAACUCAGAAUAGAAUAGAAUAGAAUAGAAUUUUUUUAUUGGCCAAG